UAAAAAGCUGUGAAGGGAACCAACUGUAGUUCUUCUAUCCCUGUUUUUAGAGAGUCAGCGGUGGUGCGAGCUGAUACAUAUAGAAGAGUGAAUUACUCCCCUGAGCUUUCUCUGUGAAACCUGAUUUUUAGUAGCGGAGAACGGCCUAAACCGUUAAUUUUUUGAGUUGGAGGAAUUUUCCUCAAGCUGGGUGGUACCGCGUAAAUUUACGUCCCUGCA
rnacentral:ncRNA from 1 species